UGAUAGAUCCGAUACACUCAUCUUCUUCUCUAAAUUUACAGAAAGAAAGAUCUCGCAUCGAAUGGUUCGAUUAUUUAAAAUAUACAUUAUCAUUACAUAUACAUAUUAAAUUUAAUUGUCAUGUGGAUCUGUCAUUUAAUCAUCACGAUUGGAGAUGUAACUAAUAAUCUAAUUUUCGGCCUCUGUUUCGUUAAGGGUGGAUAUAGACGUCCCUUUCCCCUCCCUUUUGUUAAGGAUCUCAUCAACGACUAUUAAAAUUUUUGCAGAAACUUAUAAACGUGCUCGACGACGAAGGCGAGAAGAUUCAUCAAAGUAAUAGCUUCAAGAGGAUCAUGUACAGUGUGCUGGGACAGACCGAUUAUUAAAAGCCGAACUGACGCUAUAAAUGUACUACCAUUUAUUUAUGUUAAAUAAAUCCAUAUUUUAUUUAUUGUACUACGCAAUAAACGAAUUACGCGUGAGAACGAAUGUCGAAUAAAAUCUCUUUUAACUGAGAUUGCGCGUGUUUAGCAAUUGGAUUAUAUUUUUUAGAGAAGCGAGCUUAUUAAGUGCAUAUACGUUAAAGUCUAUAAAAGCGCUAAUUGAUGAAUUGCACUCGACAUUCAUUGCUUGCCGGAUAAAACAAUGCCAUGUAUUUUUAAGCGUAGUAAUAAUAGUUAUCUUAAAACACGUCGUUAGUACGCGGGGCUUGCAAUCUUACAUAUUUUACUCGAGAUUAAUAUUUUUUUUUUGCUAGCCUGCACUAAGAUAGCUUACUCUCUCCUCUCUGCAUCUCGAUGUAUCUAUUUUUUGACGAUCUAUUUACACACUGUAUUAUACUUUUAACGUUAUGCACAAUGAAAAAUUAAUUUUCACAA